CUCGUAGGCGGCUCAGCAAGUCGGCCGUGAAAUCCCAGGGCUCAACCCUGGGGCGCCGGUCGAUACUGCUGUGGCUAGGGUCCGGUAGAGGAGAGUGGAAUUCCCGGUGUAGCGGUGAAAUGCGCAGAUAUCGGGAGGAACACCAGUAGCGAAGGCGGCUCUCUGGGCCGGUACCGACGCUGAGGAGCGAAAGCUAGGGGAGCAAACA
rnacentral:rRNA from 1 species